GCACUGGCUCUCUAUCCUAUUGGCUCCUCUCCUGGUUUUGGCCCUGGGGGCCAACUUUGUUUUAUUAAUGACCAUCUGGCAGGAAGCAUCUCUGCAUGAGCCCAUGUACUACCUGCUGGCCAUCCUCUCUUUGCUGGAUGUCAUCCUCUGCCUCACAGUCAUCCCCAAGGAACAAUGGAAAAGAAUGUAAGCUUUAAGCUUCAGUAACAUGAUUCAACUGCAAUUGAAAAACCAUAAUCUGCUUGCACUGAGAACGUGUAUUAAAACAUUCAAUUUCCCAGUUCAACUUCCUAGUGACUGGCUUCCAUCCUCAGAGGCAGAAUAUUUAAUAACCUCUCUACCCAGGCUUAAAGGCUUCCCAUCCUGCAACCCAUCAUUCUUCAUUUUUGAAUAUGCUACAAAUCUUCUCCUGGAAUGACUGACUACUAAGAGCUUCUCUUCCGAGUGACAAUGAAAUGAAAAGAUUUAGAGAAAAAACCAUCAAUCAUGACAACUGGUGGCUUACAAUGAGUGUUCUCAUAUAACAGCAUCUGUUCAAAUGUUUGUGUCUACGCAUAUGCUCCUGUAUUUGCAAAAACUGGAUUGCUGACCUUGGAAAUGGCCCUCCACAGAAGCACUGGCUGAUUCACUGGAGCUCUACCACUCCUGGGAUCACUUUGGUUACUGUCACUGGAGCCCUCUUUCAACAAAACCAGGGGAGCUGACUCACCUACUUCUGCCCAGAAUCUGAGAAGUCAUUCCUCAAGGACUGGAUGCCACAGACUGCAAACUAAAUGUGACUGAGUUCUCACAAGCCAGGACCAAGAAAAUAGACAGCCACUCUAGUCCCCUGGGAAAAGCCUUCACAAGCAGGUUAUGUCUCUGGACCUAGGAUAGAGCUUUUCAUAUCCCAGAGGACAGAGCUCUGUUUUCCAGUCAGAGACUUCUGGUUCCCAGUCACUUGCUAUCUGUGCAACCUCUAGUGAAUAUUCUCUCCUAAACAGGUCCCAUAAGUCUAGUCAGAAAUGGUGGAAUAGUGGCCUCACACCAACUCUUUAAAUCCCAAUGUUUCACUCAAUGAACAGUUAUUUUUGGCAGAGAGUCAGCACAGGCAAUAAAAGAGCACUGUAGGAAAACCCAGAAGCUCCUCAAAGUCAACUCAGAAAUAUAGAUAAGUAGCAGAGAUAUGAUUCUAACUAGUUUCCAAACCUUGAGCUAUAUAUAUCUCAAGGUUUAUAACUGAAGAAUUAUAUUACAUGAUUUCUGUGAGCAUUUAGUGACUCUAACUCUCUAUAUGUUAUUAAUUUAGAUAAACAUAAAAAUAAAUAUAUAUUUAUAUAAAGGGAAUAAGUUUAGAGAACAGAUUAAAAACAUAACUUCUGAUCCACUAAUUUUUUUUCUACGAUUUUGAUCUACUUCAUGUGACAUUCUAAGUCCUAGUUUUGGUUUACUCACAUGGAAAAUGAUAAAAUAUUGUGUCAACGUAUAGGAUUUCUGUAACUAUAUAAUAAUGUAAUUCUUACAAAGUUCUCAGAAACUAUUAGGCAUUUAUUUAUAAACAAACAUUGGCAAUUUUUAUAAUUUUUAGCAACUUUUAUCUUUGAAGUUAACACUUGGAAAUCAGAGAUAGUUUAUGGUUACUUUAACUUUAGACCUAUUUUCUGUAAUUUGAUAGUUGAUAAAACAUUUCUUAACCUCUCUGCAACUAAUGCUUCUCUGUAAAACACUCGGGAGUCAUAACAAUGACAAUACACAUAAUUUUUCUAACAAGUGAAAGAAUUUAUGUGGCUAGAGUAGCAGUGUGUUUGAAAACAGAUCCAUACACUUAUUGAAAUGAACAACAUUCUUAUUACUUAUUUUAAAUAGAAUUUAUUGGUGUUCAAAACCAGAUUAAAUAUCAGAUGGACCAAUAGCAGUUACCUUUUUAGUUCACUAGAUUGCUCAUGUAAAGGACCCUCAUUUAUUUGUUCAAGAAAUGCAUUUAGUUUGACCACUAGAUGUCAGUAAUGCUCAUAUGCCAAACUGAAGCUCCUUGAUUAAUUGAGUCUACAUUUGUUGAAUUUCUGCUGAGACAAUAUAAUAAUUA